rnacentral:rRNA from 1 species
CCUACGGGGUGCAGCAGUGGGGAAUAUUGCACAAUGGGGGAAACCCUGAUGCAGCGACGCCGCGUGAGGGAAGAAGUAUUUCGGUAUGUAAAGCUCUAUCAGCAGGGAAGAAAAUGACGGUAACUGAAUAAGAAGCCCCGGCUAAAUACGUGCCAGCAGCCGCGGUAAUACGUAGGGGGGAAGCGUUAUCCGGAUUUACGGGGUGUAAAGGGAGCGUAGGUGGCAUGGUAAGCCAGAAGUGAAAACCCAGGGCUCAACUCUGUGGAUUGCCUUUGGAACUAUCAAGCUAGGGUGCUGGAGGGGGAAGCGGAAUUCCUAGUGUAGCGGUGAAAUGCGUAGAUAUUAGGAGGAACACCGGUGGCGAAGGCGGCUUACUGGACAGAAACUGACACUGAGGCUCGAAAGCGUGGGGAGCAAACAGGAUUAGAUACCCUUGUAGUC